UACGGAGGAUGCGAGCGUUAUCCGGAUUUAUUGGGUUUAAAGGGUGCGUAGGCGGCCUUGUAAGUCAGCGGUGAAAUUUUGCAGCUUAACUGUAAAAGUGCCGUUGAUACUGUGAGGCUAGGAUUUGGUUGCUGUGGGUGGAAUGUGUGGUGUGGCGGUGAAAUGCUUAGAGAUCACACAGAAUAUCGAUUGCGAAGGCAGCUCACAAAGACAAGAUUGACGCUGAGGCACGAAAGUGUGGGGAUCAAACAGGA
rnacentral:rRNA from 1 species